GAUUUCUGAUGAACCGGAGUGGCCCGUUUCCUUUCAGGGAAUGAGUGCCGCUUUGAGUUUGUCAUCCUUCCAGAGAGCUGCGUCUACCGUUUACUCGGCCGGACGUAUGCGAUCUGGAUCUAUUACUUUGAAAAAAUUAGAGUGUUUAAAGCAGGCUUAUGCUAUGAAUACAUUAGCAUGGAAUAAUAAUUUAGGACUUCGGUUCUAUUUUGUUGGUUUCUAGGACUGAAGUAAUGAUUGAUAGGGAUAGUUGGGGGUGCUAGUAUUCAGCGGCCAGAGGUGAAAUUCUCGGAUUCGCUGAAGACUAACUUAUGCGAAAGCAUU
rnacentral:rRNA from 1 species